AGCUGACAGGGGAGGUAGCAGUUCAUUUUCACAUUACCGACACAACACAAAUCAAAAAAUACAAGACUGAUCUACAGACCAUAUUGAAAAAACUUGUCAGCAAAGUUGAUGGAAGCUUCUGUCCAACAAGCAACCAAAAAUGUAUGCAGGAAUAUUGUUUUCCUGUGUAGCUGGCAAGCAUUCAAACAUAGGCACUUCAACCCUGAAGCAAUGUUGGAUGUUUGUGGAUGAAGAUGACAAUGCUCAAGGGGCAGCUGAUGAAGGUGGCCCAACAAGAGUAUACCUAAGGCUUUUGAUGAGGGCCAUCCAUGAGUCAAACAUCUUUGAGGGACAGGAGAAAAACUGAAGUUGUGUCUUGAUACUCGCUUUGCAGACUAAACUGUACACAUUUGUGGCAAAAUUUAUCGCUGUGUCGUUCAUGGAGGAGUUGGGCCAUACUUUUUCUCUGAAAGGCUUUUCCAGCAGAUAUGUGGAUUACCAAAACCCCCCACCAUGGUAGAUGAAGUAGCUUACCAUACCUUCAGUGAAAGUUAAAGUAAGUGAGAGAUUAAAGAUGUUACACGUUGAAUGUAUAAUAUGUCCUGUGAUGCAUUUUUCAAACUUAUUUGUCUAAUUUACCUGUACUAUUCAUGGUGGAGAACGUUGUUCGAUGUUCAUCUAUAUACAGAAGGUAUCUUUCAAAGCCAAUUGUCAUCUCUCCUUUACAAUAUUUUAAUUAGUGUCAAGAAAAAGUAUUUUUUGAAAAUGUUUGGAAUUUUAUGGUUUCUGCAUUGUCAAAGUGAUCUGAUCUUUAGCACAGCACAUUUUAUUUGUCAAAUAAAUUGACAAAUAUAUCAAUGUUAAAUGAUAAAUGAUAUAAAUGGUAUACUAUUUAUUCCAUUAGUAAUGUUACUUACUUCAUAAAUAAAAUGAUUUGUGGUAGUUUUUUGAUCAGUUUUUCUCAAAGUCCAAUAUAUUCAUUCUUCUGUAUUUUGCCCACUACUCAGAUAUUCAGUUAAGGAAAGUAGUAAAGAAACCAGAAAACUAACAUUUAAGAAGCUGAAAUCAAAGAAUUUUUACUUUUUCCAUUAAAAAUGAUAGAUUGAAUGAUCCUCAUUCACCCUUGAAAAGGUAUUUUGAGUUUACAGCUGGAGCAUCAGUAGUGCCUCCCCUGUAAUUUCCACAUGGUCCACAAAUUCACUUCCUUCUGAAGCACAUAAAAUCUUUCCAGAGGCAUAAAACUGCCACAUAAUCCUCUGCCUGCCCAUACAUAAUGUUUGACACCUUCAAGAAAUAUAUGAUGGAGGGAAUUAUGCAGGCUCCUGGUUUUGGAGUUCCAUGAACAGUCUGUAAAUGUAAUCGUUUACCCACACCACUGUUUGUAACUCGUUGUUGUUUGUGUUCCACACUGUUUACUGUCACCUGAAAAGUUCGAGAUAAAGUGAUUAAAAAUGUUCUAAAUGGAUUAAUGUUUUCUAGAGUUUUUACAAUGUUUGCAGAAUUUUGCUAUGUACAUCUGGAGUGUGACCAUAGAAAUGAACAAAUUAAUUUUUUGUAUUUUAUUUAUUUUUGCAAAAUAUUUUACUCUUUUAAUAAACUCAUCACAUUGCUAAAUAUAGAAACAUUUCGUUUGCAGUUUUACUGACUUGCAUUGUUUGCACAAAGAAUGAGUUUUACUAUGUCUGC